GACAACGCUGGCGGCAUGCCUAACACAUGCAAGUCGAACGAGACCUUCGGGUCUAGUGGCGCACGGGUGCGUAACGCGUGGGAAUCUGCCCUUGGGUUCGGAAUAACUCAGAGAAAUUUGAGCUAAUACCGGAUGAUGACGUAAGUCCAAAGAUUUAUCGCCCAAGGAUGAGCCCGCGUAAGAUUAGCUUGUUGGUAGGGUAAUGGCCUACCAAGGCGACGAUCUUUAGCUGGUCUGAGAGGAUGAUCAGCCACACUGGGACUGAGACACGGCCCAGACUCCUACGGGAGGCAGCAGUGGGGAAUAUUGGACAAUGGGCGAAAGCCUGAUCCAGCAAUGCCGCGUGAGUGAUGAAGGCCUUAGGGUUGUAAAGCUCUUUUACCAGGGAUGAUAAUGACAGUACCUGGAGAAUAAGCUCCGGCUAACUCCGUG
rnacentral:rRNA from 1 species